UACGUAGGGUGCGAGCGUUAAUCGGAAUUACUGGGCGUAAAGCGUGCGCAGGCGGUUAUGCAAGACAGAUGUGAAAUCCCCGGGCUCAACCUGGGAACUGCAUUUGUGACUGCAUGGCUAGAGUACGGUAGAGGGGGAUGGAAUUCCGCGUGUAGCAGUGAAAUGCGUAGAUAUGCGGAGGAACACCGAUGGCGAAGGCAGGUCUCUGGGCUGACACUGACGCUCAUGCACGAAAGCGUGGGGAGCAAACAGG
rnacentral:rRNA from 1 species